CCGUUGCCACGCCGCUCAGAACUACAAAGGAUUGACGGGCCCGCACAAGCGGUGGAGCAUGUGGUUUAAUUCGAUGAUACGCGAGGAACCUUACCCGGGCUUGAAAUGCAUCUGACCGGCCUUGAAAGAGGUUUUCCCUUCAGGGCAGAUGUGUAGGUGCUGCAUGGUUGUCGUCAGCUCGUGCCGUGAGGUGUCGGCUUAAGUGCCAUAACGAGCGCAACCCUCAUCAUUAGUUACCAUCAGGUAAGGCUGGGGACUCUAAUGAGACUGCCAUCGUAAGAUGUGAGGAAGGUGGGGAUGACGUCAAAUCAGCACGGCCCUUACGUCCGGGGCGACACACGUGUUACAAUGGGUGGUACAAAGGGCAGCUACCUGGCGACAGGAUGCUAAUCUCCAAAACCACUCUCAGUUCGGAUCGGAGUCUGCAACUCGACUCCGUGAAGUCGGAAUCGCUAGUAAUCGUGAAUCAGAAUGUCACGGUGAAUACGUUCCCGGGCCUU
rnacentral:rRNA from 1 species